GACGAACGCUGGCGGCGUGCUUAACACAUGCAAGUCGAGCGGAAAGGCCACUUCGGUGGUACUCGAGCGGCGAACGGGUGAGUAACACGUGAGUAAUCUGCCCCUGGCUUUGGGAUAGCCACCGGAAACGGUGAUUAAUACCGGAUACGACCACUUCUCGCAUGGGAUGGUGGUGGAAAGUUUUUUCGGCCAGGGAUGUGCUCGCGGCCUAUCAGCUUGAUGGUGAGGUAAUGGCUCACCAUGGCUUCGACGGGUAGCAGGCCUGAGAGGGUGACCGGUCACACUGGGCCUGAGACGCGGCCCAGACUCCUACGGGAGGCAGCAGUGGGGAAGAUUGGACAAGGGGCGGAAGCCUGAUCCAGCAACGCCGCGGGAGGGAUGACGUCCUUCGGGUUGUAAACCUCUUUCAGCAAGGACGAAGAGCAAGUAACGGUACCUGCAGAAGAAGCACCGGCCAACUACGUGCCAGCAGCCGCGGUAA
rnacentral:rRNA from 1 species